GAUAGAGAUGGAGAAGCACUGUUGUGCGUGGAAGCAGCACGCCGCCGAAAUGGAGUUUCACCGGGAGAGAAUAGAAUGUCUCACGGCUGAGAUGAACGGAUUCGCACACCAGGUUCAACACGAGGUGGCGGAGUUGAACAAACUGGCUUUACAUGACUGCUGUGGCUCCAUCGUGUGAACAAAGUUCACUGUCAUUUAUACUACUACUAGUCCAAUAAAAAUUAUUCACUCCUUUUUAAA